rnacentral:lncRNA from 1 species
AUGAGGGGAACACAAGCAAAGUUAAUCGGUCAUGUUUAUAUUUAUGGAAAAGAGUUAAUAAUUCUACUUUUCAUAAUUUUAGUUUUCUUUUGUUUCUCUGUUGAUAUGUGUUUCAUAUUUACCUGGAAUGUCUUUUUUUUUUCUUUUUUUUCAUUGACCAAAUCCCAAAUCAGAUUCUGUAUUUUCUUCAAACCUCCUUUUUUCAUAGCAAGCCUUCCUCAUCCACCUCUCAUCCCUCUCUCACUGCCUUCUGCAUACUCACCAACUUCUUGGUGUGGUGUAUUGAUCUGCACUUUGGGGAUUUGUUGUUUUGUAAUAGGAAGUCAUAAGUCAUUUCUUCUGUGCAUCACUAGUCUCCUCGACCAGACUGCCAUGUCAUUUCAGGAAGGAAUAUUUCUGUUGGUGUGUGUAUGUGUGUGUGUAUGUGUAUGUAUGUGUGUAGUUCCUUCUUGUCUUCCUCAUGGUGCAUGGUUAAUGCUCUGGGGGGUGUGUGUGUGUAUGUAUGUAUGUGUAGUUCUUUCUUGUCUUCCUCAUGGAGCAUGGUUAAUGCUCUGGUGUGUAUGUGUGUGUGCGUGUGUCUGUGUGUAUGUGUGUGUGUGUAGUUCCUUCUUGUCUUCCUCAUGGAGCAUGGUUAAUG